rnacentral:rRNA from 1 species
GACGAACGCUGGCGGCGUGCUUAACACAUGCAAGUCGAACGAAGAGCGACGGAAGCUUGCUUCUAUCAAUCUUAGUGGCGAACGGGUGAGUAACGCGUAAUCAACCUGCCCUUCAGAGGGGGACAACAGUUGGAAACGACUGCUAAUACCGCAUACGAUCUAACCUCGGCAUCGAGGAUAGAUGAAAGGUGGCCUCUACAUGUAAGCUAUCACUGAAGGAGGGGAUUGCGUCUGAUUAGCUAGUUGGAGGGGUAACGGCCCACCAAGGGGAUGAUCAGUAGCCGGUCUGAGAGGAUGAACGGCCACAUUGGGACUGGGACACGGCCCAGACUCCUACGGGAGGCAGCAGUGGGGAAUCUUCCGCAAUGGACGGAAGUCUGACGGAGCAACGCCGCGUGAGUGAUGACGGCCUUCGGGUUGUAAAGCUCUGUUAAUCGGGACGAAAGGCCUUCUUGCGAAUAGUGAGAAGGAUUGACGGUACCGGAAUAGAAAGCCACGGCUAACUACGUG